rnacentral:rRNA from 1 species
GGUAGCUACGUAUGGAUUAGAUAAUCGCUGAAAGCAUCUAAGUGAGAAACUAACCUCGAGAUGAGAUUUCCCAUUCGUCAGAAGUAAGACCCCUGAGAGACGAUCAGGUAGAUAGGCUAGAAGUGGAAGUGUAGUGAUGCAUGGAGCGGACUAGUACUAAUAGGUCGAGGACUUAACCAAG